rnacentral:rRNA from 1 species
AUUGAACGCUGGCGGCAGGCCUAACACAUGCAAGUCGAGCGAGCGGCGGACGGGUGAGUAAUGUAUGGGGAUCUGCCCUGCACUUCGGGAUAAGCCUGGGAAACUGGGUCUAAUACCGCAUAGUGUGGGAUUGGCCCGCGGCCUAUCAGCUGGUGGUGGGGGUAAUGGCCUACCCAGGCGGCGACGGGUAGCCGGCCUGAGAGGGUGACCGGCCACACUGGGACUGAGACACGGCCCAGACUCCUACGGGAGGCAGCAGUGGGGAAUAUUGCACAAUGGGCGGAAGCCUGAUGCAGCCAUGCCGCGUGUAUGAAGAAGGCCUUAGGGUUGUAAAGUACUUUCAGCGGGGAGGCGUUACCCGCAGAAGAAGCACCGGCUAACUCCGUGCCAGCAGCCGCGGUAAUAC